rnacentral:rRNA from 1 species
UUCGCAGGGGGCUAGCGUUGCUCGGAAUUACUGGGCGUAAAGGGCGCGUAGGCGGCGUGUCAAGUCAGGCGUGAAAGCCCCGGGCUCAACCUGGGAACCGCGCUUGAGACUGGCAUGCUCGAGUUCGGGAGAGGAUGGUGGAAUUCCCAGUGUAGAGGUGAAAUUCGUAGAUAUUGGGAAGAACACCGAUGGCGAAGGCAGCCAUCUGGACCGACACUGACGCUGAGGCGCGAAAGCGUGGGGAGCAAACAGG